CCGCCUGGGGAGUACGAUCGCAAGAUUGGAACUCAAAGGAAUUGACGGGGCCCCGCACAAGCAGCGGAGCAUGCGGCUUAAUUCGACGCAACGCGAAGAACCUUACCAAGGCUUGACAUAUACAGGAAUAUGGCAGAGAUGUCAUAGCCGCAAGGUCUGUAUACAGGUGGUGCAUGGUUGUCGUCAGCUCGUGUCGUGAGAUGUUGGGUUAAGUCCCGCAACGAGCGCAACCCUCGUUCUGUGUUGCCAGCAUUUAGUUGGGGACUCACAGGAGACUGCCGGGGUUAACUCGGAGGAAGGUGGGGAUGACGUCAAAUCAUCAUGCCCCUUAUGUCUUGGGCUGCACGCAUGCUACAAUGGCUGGUACAAACGGCUGCAAUACCGCAAGGUGGAGCGAAUCCGAGAAAGCCAGUCUCAGUUCGGAUUGGGGUCUGCAACUCGACCCCAUGAAGUCGGAGUUGCUAGUAAUCGUAGAUCAGCAACGCUACGGUGAAUACGUUCCCGGGGCUUGUACACACCGCCCGUCACGUCACGAAAGUCGGUAACACCCGAAGUCAGUGGCC
rnacentral:rRNA from 1 species